rnacentral:rRNA from 1 species
CAGCACCUCAAGUGGUCAGGAUGAUUAUUGGGCCUAAAGCAUCCGUAGCCGGCGCUGUAAGUUUUCGGUUAAAUCUGUACGCUCAACGUACAGGCUGCCGGGAAUACUGCAGCGCUAGGGAGUGGGAGAGGUAGACGGUACUCGGUAGGAAGGGGCAAAAUCCUUUGAUCUAUUGAUGACCACCUGUGGCGAAGGCGGUCUACCAGAACACGUCCGACGGUGAGGGAUGAAAGCUGGGGGAGCAAACCGGAUUAGAUACCCGAGUAGUCC